GAUGAACGCUAGCUACAGGCCUAACACAUGCAAGUCGAGGGACCUGCGCACUGGUGAUUACCACCUAUCCAACCUUCCCUUUCCUCGUGGCUAUCCUUUCGCACGAACGAUUAAUACCCUAUAUCAUGGCUGGGGCUGCGUUCCAUUAGGUUGUUGGUGAGGUAACGGCCCACCAAGCCUUCGAUGGAUAGGGGUUCUGAGAGGAAGGUCCCACACAUUGGAUAUGAGACACGGUCCAAACUCGUACGGGAGGCAGCAGUGAGGAAUAUUGGUCAAUGGGCGGUAGACUGAACAAGCCAAGUAGCGUGAAGGAUGAAGGGUUAUGGGUCGUAAACUUCUUUUAUAUAAGAAUAUGUAUUAUAUGAAUAAGGAUCGGCUAACUCCGUGCCAGCAGCCGCGGUAAUUC
rnacentral:rRNA from 1 species